rnacentral:misc_RNA from 1 species
CUCCACUCCUCUUCGCGCGGUCUGUGCGCGAGGUCCACCGCUGGCCAUGCACCGCGUAUGCCUGUGACUCCCUUGCGUAACGCGGAGGGCGAUAAGCCGAUUGCAGCGCACCGGUGGGGUGUGCGUGCAGGAGCCUCUGUGUGAGUGAGUGUGUGUGGGUGGGUGUCCCUCUUUCUCUGUGUCUUCUACAUUGUUCCUCUCUCUUUCUUUGGUGUUUUCGGGAUGCCGAUGUCGUCGUUGCCGUCCAUGGUGCUCGAUGCCGGAUCUGCUGGAUGCGCGUGCGGUCGUCAUCGCUGUCGGUUGUGGGGCGGAGGAUGGGUGCUUGUAUUCGCGUAAGAGGUUCCCUCAUAGCAGUGCUCCUUUUUCUCUGUGAGUGGUCGUGGUGGUGGUUGGUCCCGCACGUGCUCGCCCUCUGGCCCCACCCCGGCCCUCUCACGCGGUGCACCCUUCACGAGCACACCCGCACGCACCAGAGGGCAGCAUGGCUGCGUGCGUCUGUAAUGUGUGGCGGGUUGGGGACCGGCGUGCCUUCCUUCUUGCGCCCUCAGCACCCCCUCAUAUAGAUAUCUAUAUGAGGGGGUGUGCAUGGAGAAAGUGUCUCUUGCACCUCCUCGACAGACGUGCACACGCAUACACGCGAGCCGUGCGGUGCGUCUGUGUAGACCUGUGUGGGUGGGUGGGUGUGGGCGAAGCUCAAGCGUGCAAGGGGUGAGUGCGUGCCGCUGACCUUGUGAGCGGAAGUCGAUCAACGAUCAGACAAUGUGGGCCACGGAUGAUGACGUACACCUGACGAGAAGGUGUUGAGGGGGGUGGAGUUGGAACGACGAUGCCCGGGGCCGAAGGCGGAGGUAUCGGACUGUGCGUUGCACAGUGCCACAUGAGUGCGCAAGUGCAUAAGACCUGGAACGCUCCCCUCCCCCUUCACGCCCUCUGUUCUUUCCGUCUUCGCACAG